AGUGGAUGGGGAGCAACCUAGUUGUGCGUGUGUAAAGGUAGUGCCAAGAAAAGCGAUGAUCAUGUUGAAAAUCAAUUCCCGGUACCCGAAACCGACACAGGUGGGCAAGUAGAGAAUACUAAGGGGCGCGAGGUAACUCUCUCCAAGGAACUCGGCAAAAUGACCCCGUAACUUAGGGAGAAGGGGUGCCACCGAGAGGUGGUCGCAGUGAAGAGGCCCAGGCGACUGUUUGGCAAAAACAUAGGUCUCUGCAAACUCGAAAGAGGAGGUAUAGGGGCUGACGCCUGCCCAGUGCCGGAAGGUUAAAGAAGUUGGUCAGUUUUAGGAUGAAGCUAGCGACUGAAGCCCCGGUGAACGGCGGCCGUAACUAUAACGGUCCUAAGGUAGCGAAAUUCCUUGUCGGGUAAGUUCCGACCCGCACGAAAGGCGUAACGAUCUGGGCGCUGUCUCGGAUAGAGGCUCGGCGAAAUAGGAUUGUCUGUGAAGAUACGGACUACCUGCAUUUGGACAGAAAGACCCUAUGAAGCUUUACUAUAGCUUGGAAUUGUGUUCGGGCUUCCUGUGCGCAGGAUAGGUGGGAGGAGUAGAAGGUAUUCUUGUGGGGAUACUGGAGCCAACGGUGAGAUACCACUCUCAGGAGGCUAGAAUUCUAACUUAAUUAAGGACAGUUUCAGGUGGGUAGUUUGACUGGGGCGGUCGCCUCCAAAAAGGUAACGGAGGCGUACAAAGGUUCCCUCAGACUGGUUGGAAAUCAGUCGAAGAGUGCAAAGGCAGAAGGGAGCUUGACUGCGAGAAGUACAGUUCGAGCAGGGUGGAAACACGGUCUUAGUGAUCCGACGGUGCUGUGUGGAAGGGCCGUCGCUCAACGGAUAAAAGUUACUCUAGGAUAACAGGCUGAUCUCCCCCAAGAGUUCACAUCGACGGGGAGGUUUGGCACCUCGAUGUCGGCUCAUCGCAACCUGGGGCGGAAGUACGUCCCAAGGGAUGGGCUGUUCGCCCAUUAAAGCGGUACGUGAGCUGGGUUCAGAACGUCGUGAGACAGUUCGGUCCAUAUCCGAUGUAGGCGUGAGAAUAUUGAGAGGAGCCUUCCUCAGUACGAGAGGACCGGGAAGGACGCACCGCUGGUGUACCUGUUAUGAUGCCAAUUGUAAACGCAGGGUAGCCAAGUGCGGAGAGGAUAACCGCUGAAAGCAUCUAAGUGGGAAGCCCACCUCAAGAUGAGUAUUCUGGUGUAAGGUCACGGGAAGACGACCCGUAAAUAGGCACGAGGUGGAAGUGCAGAGAUGUAUGAAGCCGAAGUGUACUAAUAGACCGUCGGCUUGACCG
rnacentral:rRNA from 1 species